UCCCUGGAGGUCCAGUGGUUAAGACUCUGCUUCCACUGCAGGGGGCACAGGUUCGAUCCCUGGCCAGGGAA
rnacentral:tRNA from 1 species